rnacentral:rRNA from 1 species
AUUGAACGCUGGCGGCAGGCCUAACACAUGCAAGUCGAGCGGAUGAAGGGAGCUUGCUCCUGGAUUCAGCGGCGGACGGGUGAGUAAUGCCUAGGAAUCUGCCUGGUAGUGGGGGAUAACGUCCGGAAACGGGCGCUAAUACCGCAUACGUCCUGAGGGAGAAAGUGGGGGAUCUUCGGACCUCACGCUAUCAGAUGAGCCUAGGUCGGAUUAGCUAGUUGGUUGGGUAAAGGCUUACCAAGGCGACGAUCCGUAACUGGUCUGAGAGGAUGAUCAGUCACACUGGAACUGAGACACGGUCCAGACUCCUACGGGAGGCAGCAGUGGGGAAUAUUGGACAAUGGGCGAAAGCCUGAUCCAGCCAUGCCGCGUGUGUGAAGAAGGUCUUCGGAUUGUAAAGCACUUUAAGUUGGGAGGAAGGGCAGUAAGUUAAUACCUUGCUGUUUUGACGUUACCAACAGAAUAAGCACCGGCUAACUUCGUG